ACCAACUUCUUCACAUCUUCGUGGUCUUCCUCUCAACGUCGGGGAAUCAAAGUAUCUGGUUCUGAUAUUAGAGUGGGAAAUAUCAUUGGAAAACAAGGGCGCAUUUACGAGGUUCUUAAAGUCGAUCACUCUCAUGAAGGAAGAGGAAAAGCCACAAUCAAGGAACUGAAAUGACUAUUCGAGGAAGAGGUAGAGGUCAAGGUAGUCACACUCUAAGUCAACUUAGGCCUAUUCAAUGUCAUGUUGGUCCUUCAGAACUAGAUCCUAUUUUGCAAUCACCAGGUGCUACUUCAAUUGAUGGUAAUCAAUCACCACCUACCACCUCAGUGUUUGAUGAUG